rnacentral:rRNA from 1 species
CCUACGGGUGGCUGCAGUGGGGAAUAUUGGACAAUGGGGGGAACCCUGAUCCAGCCAUGCCGCGUGUGUGAAGAAGGCCCUCGGGUUGUAAAGCACUUUCAGUGAGGAAGAACGCCUGGUGGUUAAUACCCAUCAGGAAAGACAUCACUCACAGAAGAAGCACCGGCUAACUCCGUGCCAGCAGCCGCGGUAAUACGGAGGGUGCGAGCGUUAAUCGGAAUUACUGGGCGUAAAGCGCGCGUAGGUGGCUUGAUAAGCCGGUUGUGAAAGCCCCGGGCUCAACCUGGGAACGGCAUCCGGAACUGUCAAGCUAGAGUGCAGGAGAGGAAGGUAGAAUUCCCGGUGUAGCGGUGAAAUGCGUAGAGAUCGGGAGGAAUACCAGUGGCGAAGGCGGCCUUCUGGACUGACACUGACACUGAGGUGCGAAAGCGUGGGUAGCAAACAGGAUUAGCUACCCCAGUAGUC